AUUGAACGCUGGCGGAAUGCUUUACACAUGCAAGUCGAACGGCAGCACGGGGCAACCUGGUGGCGAGUGGCGAACGGGUGAGUAAUACAUCGGAACGUGCCCAAUCGUGGGGGAUAACGUAGCGAAAGUUACGCUAAUACCGCAUACGAUCUACGGAUGAAAGCGGGGGAUCGCAAGACCUCGCGCGAAUGGAGCGGCCGAUGUCAGAUUAGGUAGUUGGUGGGGUAAAGGCUCACCAAGCCAACGAUCUGUAGCUGGUCUGAGAGGACGACCAGCCACACUGGAACUGAGACACGGUCCAGACUCCUACGGGAGGCAGCAGUGGGGAAUUUUGGACAAUGGGCGCAAGCCUGAUCCAGCCAUUCCGCGUGCAGGAUGAAGGCCUUCGGGUUGUAAACUAGCUUUUGUACGGUAACGAAACGGCGAGCUCUAAUACAGUUUGCUAAUGACGGUACCGUAAGAAUAAGCACCGCUAACUACGUGCCAGCAGCCGC
rnacentral:rRNA from 1 species